rnacentral:piRNA from 1 species
UGUCCUUUCUAAAUAGCAUUU